rnacentral:rRNA from 1 species
CCCGCUGAACUUAAGCAUAUCAAUAAGCGGAGGAAAAGAAACCAACAGGGAUUGCCCCAGUAACGGCGAGUGAAGCGGCAACAGCUCAAAUUUGAAAUCUGGCGCAAGCCCGAGUUGUAAUUUGCAGAGGAUGCUUCAGGGCAGCGACCGGUCUAAGUUCCUUGGAACAGGACGUCGUAGAGGGUGAGAAUCCCGUAUGCGACCGGUUGGCACCCGUCACGUAGCUCCUUCGACGAGUCGAGUUGUUUGGGAAUGCAGCUCUAAAUGGGAGGUAAAUUUCUUCUAAAGCUAAAUACCGGCCAGAGACCGAUAGCGCACAAGUAGAGUGAUCGAAAGAUGAAAAGCACUUUGGAAAGAGAGUUAAAAAGCACGUGAAAUUGUUGAAAGGGAAGCGCAUGCAACCAGACUUGUCGGCGGUGUUCCGCCGGUCUUCUGACCGGUCCACUCGCCGCCGGCAGGCCAGCAUCAUCUGGGCGCGCCGGACAAAGGCGCGGGGAAUGUAGCUCCUCGGAGUGUUAUAGCCCCGCGCACAAUACGGCGCCGCUCGGGUGAGGUCCGCGCUUCGGCUAGGAUGCUGGCGUAAUGGUUGUCUGCGGCCCGUCUUGAAACACGGACCAAGGAGUCUAACAUCUAUGCGAGUGUUCGGGUGUCAAACCCCUACGCGGAAUGAAAGUGAACGGAGGUGGGAAGCGCAAGCUGCACCAUCGACCGAUCCUGAUGUCUUCGGAUGGAUUUGAGUAAGAGCAUAGCUGUUGGGACCCGAAAGAUGGUGAACUAUGCCUGAAUAGGGUGAAGCCAGAGGAAACUCUGGUGGAGGCUCGCAGCGGUUCUGACGUGCAAAUCGAUCGUCAAAUUUGGGUAUAGGGGCGAAAGACUAAUCGAACCAUCUAGUAGCUGGGUUCCUGCCGAAGUU